rnacentral:rRNA from 1 species
GACGAACCGUCCAAACGUUGUUCGGAAUCACUGGGCUUAAAGGGCGCGUAGGCGGGCUACCAAGUCCGGGGUGAAAUCUUUCGGCUCAACCGGAAAACUGCCUUGGAUACUGGUAGUCUCGAGGGAGGUAGGGGUCUGUGGAACUGAUGGUGGAGCGGUGAAAUGCGUUGAUAUCAUCAGGAACGCCGGUGGCGAAAGCGACGGACUGGACCUUCACUGACGCUGAGGCGCGAAAGCUAGGGGAGCAAACGGG